CCUACGGGUGGCUGCAGUGGGGAAUGUUGCACAAUGGGCGCAAGCCUGAUGCAGCCAUGCCGCGUGUGUGAAGAAGGCCUUCGGGUUGUAAAGCACUUUCAGCGGGGAGGAAGGCGUUAAGGUUAAUAACCUUGUCGAUUGACGUUACCCGCAGAAGAAGCACCGGCUAACUCCGUGCCAGCAGCCGCGGUAAUACGGAGGGUGCAAGCGUUAAUCGGAAUUACUGGGCGUAAAGCGCACGCAGGCGGUCUGUCAAGUCGGAUGUGAAAUCCCCGGGCUCAACCUGGGAACUGCAUUCGAAACUGGCAGGCUAGAGUCUUGUAGAGGGGGGUAGAAUUCCAGGUGUAGCGGUGAAAUGCGUAGAGAUCUGGAGGAAUACCGGUGGCGAAGGCGGCCCCCUGGACAAAGACCGACGCUCAGGUGCGAAAGCGUGGGGAGCAAACAGGAUUAGAUACCCUAGUAGUC
rnacentral:rRNA from 1 species